rnacentral:lncRNA from 1 species
GUCCAUUGGGUGUAUUUUAUAUUCUCUCUCUAGAAGAAGACGGAUCUUGACCUCCCAAAGCGUUAUAACCAAUAACAUCAAAUGUGGUUGAAAUGAGCGAAAGGAAUUGACCUGAAUAUUCCUUUCAUAGAGAACAUGAUGAAGUCAUACUAUUAAUGCUUUUCGAAUAUGGCAUUUGAAAUAUUCAAACUAUUAUCUUUUUUAAUCUUAGAUAUCAUCGGCACAUAUUUUAAGCUAUGUUGAUCUACAAUACAAGUAAUUAACCAAUGCAUGUUCAUAUAAAUAAAUAAAAAAUAAAAAAACCAUGCAAGUAACCCAUCAGCCAUUAGAAGGUCUAUUCUCUAAAAGCAGUUUGUGGGUUAAUAAUAUUCAGACUCAACGUAUAUGUAAAUAUAACAUAUUAAUAUUAAUACAAUGUUAAUCACUCGUUCAGUCUCAUUCCAAAACGUAAUUUUAUGAUAUGAAUCGUUCAUUUUAUGAGUUUACAUUCAAGGAUAUCCAUUCAUAUAAUCCUUACGCUAUUGUUGGUUGAUUAUAGGACUAACUAUAGUGGCUCAAGACGAACAUAUUACUUUUUUUUUUUUGAAAUAGGGGGGAUUAACUCCUAAACACACAAAACUAAAUAACAGAGACAGUACAAGUUCUACGAACAUAUUACUUUCAACUUAACUAAAACAAAAAAAACAAAAAACAAAAACAAAGAACACAUAAUUAACAAUUUGAGACUUGGGAAGAAAAAAAAAGUUGAUUAAAGAAAUUGAUUGGAUUCAUCAAUUAGUUAACUUGUCCUUGGGUUAAAAGAAUAUUCCAGAAUUCUUCUUUUAAAAACACACUUGAUUCAUGUUCAUUCUGAAUAUUUCUCCAUACACAAAAAAUGGAACAAGCUUGAUGAACUCGUAGAAAUCAAUUAAAACACAUGAUUUGAAAAUAGGGCAAUACUAAAAUAUACGAAACUUGUGUCAAAUUAAGCUGCCUAAAAAGCGUACGUGGCGGUCAUUCAUUUGCCGGGGGCUCCCCGUGAUACUUGGCAUACUCUAUAAUUACGUGCUACACAACAAACGCGGGUAGAAGUAUUAAGCCUUCAGGGCUAGUUUACUUGCAUAAUUGCAUUUACAUGUUUUUUUUUCCCUUGAUUUAUAAGCUGUGCACAGAGCACCCUACUUAGAGAUCAAGUAUAGUUUAGAAAAGGACACGUCAUGUAGAAAAACGUUUUUUAAGGUUUGGGCGAUCUGUUUGCUUCGUUGUGUAUGUAGCGUUUCAUCAAUGGCCAAUCCCUUUGCUUCC